GAAGACAUUGUGUCUUCGAGUCGUUGAUUUCACACUGCCGAGAAAAGCCUCUAGAUAGAAAAUAGGUGCCCGUACCGCAAACCGACACAGGUAGUCAAGAUGAGAAUUCUAAGGUGAGCGAGCGAACUCUCGUUAAGGAACUCGGCAAAAUGACCCCGUAACUUCGGGAGAAGGGGUGCUCUUUAGGGUUAACGCCCAGAAGAGCCGCAGUGAAUAGGCCCAAGCGACUGUUUAUCAAAAACACAGGUCUCUGCUAAACCGUAAGGUGAUGUAUAGGGGCUGACGCCUGCCCGGUGCUGGAAGGUUAAGAGGAGUGGUUAGCUUCUGCGAAGCUACGAAUCGAAGCCCCAGUAAACGGCGGCCGUAACUAUAACGGUCCUAAGGUAGCGAAAUUCCUUGUCGGGUAAGUUCCGACCCGCACGAAAGGCGUAACGAUUUGGGCACUGUCUCAACGAGAGACUCGGUGAAAUCAUAGUACCUGUGAAGAUGCAGGUUACCCGCGACAGGACGGAAAGACCCCGUGGAGCUUUACUGUAGCCUGAUAUUGAAAUUCGGCACAGCUUGUACAGGAUAGGUAGGAGCCUUUGAAACGUGAGCGCUAGCUUACGUGGAGGCGCUGGUGGGAUACUACCCUAGCUGUGUUGGCUUUCUAACCCGCACCACUUAUCGUGGUGGGAGACAGUGUCAGGCGGGCAGUUUGACUGGGGCGGUCGCCUCCUAAAAGGUAACGGAGGCGCUCAAAGGUUCCCUCAGAAUGGUUGGAAAUCAUUCAUAGAGUGUAAAGGCAUAAGGGAGCUUGACUGCGAGACCUACAAGUCGAGCAGGGUCGAAAGACGGACUUAGUGAUCCGGUGGUUCCGCAUGGAAGGGCCAUCGCUCAACGGAUAAAAGCUACCCCGGGGAUAACAGGCUUAUCUCCCCCAAGAGUUCACAUCGACGGGGAGGUUUGGCACCUCGAUGUCGGCUCAUCGCAUCCUGGGGCUGUAGUCGGUCCCAAGGGUUGGGCUGUUCGCCCAUUAAAGCGGUACGCGAGCUGGGUUCAGAACGUCGUGAGACAGUUCGGUCCCUAUCCGUCGUGGGCGUAGGAAAUUUGAGAGGAGCUGUCCUUAGUACGAGAGGACCGGGAUGGACAUACCUCUGGUGUACCAGUUGUCGUGCCAACGGCAUAGCUGGGUAGCUAUGUGUGGACGGGAUAAGUGCUGAAAGCAUCUAAGCAUGAAGCCCCCCUCAAGAUGAGAUUUCCCAACUUCGGUUAUAAGAUCCCU
rnacentral:rRNA from 1 species